CAGCGAUAAAAGUUCGUGUAUAGUACUGAUAUAGUACUAUAUAUGUAACUUGUACAGUUUUGCUUUAAUUUUUGCUCACUAUUUGCAUAAAAAGCAAAUUAUAACAGACCAUAGAUGAUAGACCCUCAUCCAGUGCUCUCAUCAGUUUACUUCUCUAACAAGCAAGGAGGGGGGGGGGGUACAUAACAGUUCAUUUUUCAUAAUUAUGAGGACAGAGCAGAUGAUGAUGAGAGAUGCAAGUAUAAAACACCAUUCACAAGGCUAGAUGUUAACAUAGCACAGUAUUUCUGGCAAUAAAACGCUUCAACUGACCGACUGACCAUUUCACACGAACAUUUAUCGCUGGAUAAUUUUGCGAUUUUUCAUCCAAUUCAAUCACAUAUAUGCUCAAAAUCUUCGCGGUAAGUUUCUCUUUACCAUAAAAUUUGACCGAAUAAGUUUCGAAACAAUGCGAUGGCAAAAAAUGCAAAAAUCCUGAUUUUCG
rnacentral:lncRNA from 1 species